UACGAAGGGGGCUAGCGUUGCUCGGAAUCACUGGGCGUAAAGCGCACGUAGGCGGACUCUUAAGUCAGGGGUGAAAUCCUGGAGCUCAACUCCAGAACUGCCUUCGAUACUGGGAAGCUCGAGUCCGGGAGAGGUGAGUGGAACUGCGAGUGUAGAGGUGAAAUUCGUAGAUAUUCGCAAGAACACCAGUGGCGAAGGCGGCUCACUGGCCCGGUACUGACGCUGAGGUGCGAAAGCGUGGG
rnacentral:rRNA from 1 species